CCUACGGGAGACAGCAGUCGAGAAUCAUUCACAAUGGGGGAAACCCUGAUGGUGCGACGCCGCGUGGGGGAAUGAAGGUCUUCGGAUUGUAAACCCCUGUCAUGUGGGAGCAAAUUAAAAAGAUAGUACCACAAGAGGAAGAGACGGCUAACUCUGUGCCAGCAGCCGCGGUAAUACAGAGGUCUCAAGCGUUGUUCGGAAUCACUGGGCGUAAAGCGUGCGUAGGCUGUUUCGUAAGUCGUGUGUGAAAGGCGCGGGCUCAACCCGCGGACGGCACAUGAUACUGCGAGACUAGAGUAAUGGAGGGGGAACCGGAAUUCUCGGUGUAGCAGUGAAAUGCGUAGAUAUCGAGAGGAACACUCGUGGCGAAGGCGGGUUCCUGGACAUUAACUGACGCUGAGGCACGAAGGCCAGGGGAGCGAAAAGGAUUAGAUACCCCUGUAGUC
rnacentral:rRNA from 1 species